CCUACGGGUGGCAGCAGUGAGGAAUAUUGGGCAAUGGGCUUACGCCUGAACCAGCCAAGUCGCGUGAGGGAAGACUGCCCUAUGGGUUGUAAACCUCUUUGUUCAGGGAGCAAGUGGCUCUACGUGGAGCGUUAUCGAGAUUACCUUAAGAAAACGCAUCGGCUAACUCCGUGCCAGCAGCCCCGGUAAUACGGAGGAUGCGAGCGGUAUCCGGAUUUAUUGGGUUUAACGGGUGCGUAGGCGGAAUGCCAAGUCAGCGGUAAAAGCGCGGGGCUCAACCUUGCUACGCCGUUGAAACUGGCGUUCUUGAGUGGGCGAGGAGUAUGCGGAAUGCGUGGUGUAGCGGUGAAAUGCAUAGAUAUCACGAAGAACUCCGAUUGCGAAGGCAGCAUACCGGCGCCCAACUGACGCUGAAGCACGAAAGCGUGGGUAUCGAACAGGAUUAGAUACCCCUGUAGUC
rnacentral:rRNA from 1 species